UAUAUAUAUAUAUUUAAGCAAAUACCAUAGAUCUAAACAUAGCAGAAGUUGUAACUGGAUGCAUCAGUCACAAUUCCGUCAGCCCACCGGGCCAGCCCAUCGGGUUUUCGGGCUAGCCCUAUCGGGUUCCGGGUUAGUCGAGUGCGGGCUAAUCGGGCUGAAGGUUUUUUCGGGUUGCGAUUUUUCAACCCUAACCCUCUAAUUUUGUCGGGUUAUUCGGGUCGGCCCACGGAUUUCGGGCUGCAUUGACAUCCCUAAUUAUGGACAUCAAAAGAUGUGACUUAGAAAGAAAACAUAAUGAUUCAACAAAUAAUAAACAUGAGAAACAGAUUUCUUACAGUUCUAUCAUAACAUCUAGUUACAAACUCACGGCCAGUUGGUGAAUAAUCAAUAUCCAUUCUGAGUAUGAGCCAUCAAAAAUUAGUAAAGCAAAAUGUUUGAACUGAAUACUAAAUCAGAACCAAUGUUUUAAAAAACGUUUGAGGCGUACGAACUGAGGCGCGCCUCAGUUCCAAUCCUUAGAAAAUCGCAUCUGAGGCGCCGCCUCAGUUGAUUGAAAUGAAACUUACGCCUCAGUUAAUUGAGGCGCACUGAGGCGGUGGGUAAGAACCAGUUCGUUUGAGGCUUAAGCCUCAGUUAGAAUUUGAUUUUUCAGUCCAAAUUGAGUGGGCUUUGUAUAUUUUAACCGAAUUACUAAUGGGCUUUAUUAAUUUAGGCCCAAUUUAAGUAAAGCCCUACAUAUUAUUAUUAAUUAAUACCUAAUAGUCUAAUAUACUAUGGAAUACAAAAAGUCACGUAGGAAAUACUAUGGUUUUUGGACUUGUGGUCGUAUAAGUACUAGUUAUUUUGCUAUGAACCUAUUAUUAUAUAGCUUAUGAGUGUUAAGUUGGUAUUUUAUUAUAGCUUUUGACUUUAUGGUAUUAGUUAUUUUGUUAUGAACUUAUUAUAUUUAUGAACCUAUAAUUUUUCUUAAAGGCUUACGCCUUGAAUUGGUUCCUACGCCUCGGUUCGAACUGGUUCCUACGCCUCAUGGUACUAUAAGAAACGCCUCGGUUCUCGAUUUAGUUUUUUAAAACAUUGAUCAGAACCUCAAAAUUUAGGAUUUAUAAGAUAUUAGUAGUUGAGACUUACACUGCAGAAACAUGAUCUUUGUGCACACAUCUUGUCUCAUUCAUUUUUCGAACAUCAUAACUAUAGGCUAUAGCAAUUGCAAUCUUCAUUUUGCCUGAAUUGACAUGAUAUUUUAAUUUACAAUCAUAGCAUUUCAAGAUAUAUAAUUUCACCAGGCCAUGAACUAGCUCACAACUUUUCAUGCAUGUGUUAUUGGAUGCCAUAUAACAGACUAACAAUUCCAACCAAAUUUUGCAUGCUUAUUGAGAAAAAAGAAUAAUAUAUGAAUCAUAAUCAAGUGCACAUGUCAUAAAUAGGUAAUCCGGGUGCUUUACUACUGCCUCAAAAGUUAUAUUAGAAAAUGAUGCAUACAAAAGCAAAUGAAACUUUAGAGGCCAGCAUCUUAAUGCAGCAGGAGAAGAUAUAUGUAGGUUCGACAAGUCAAAACAUUCAUUUUUUUUAUACUACUCCCUUGCAAGCAUGAAUAUCUGCAAAAUUCACCAAAAAUCAACACAUAAAUUACUUGAAAGCUUCGAAACAAUCCCAGCAAAUUCCAGAUAAAAUUGCACGAAAAUGAGGAGAAACUAAUUGUCAGCAAUGACAACAUAAUAAUACGGACAACACACAAUUUUAACCUAAUUUGACGGAUACGCAGAAUUGGAUUUGCAAAUCAAAAUGGUUGACAUUUCUAUCAAACAACUUGGGCUAAUUACAACAAGGAACAAAAAAAAUGUACUAUAUGUUACGAGUAAAAUCUACCGAAAUACUAUUGAAGUGCAAUCUAACCAAAAAUUUGAGCCUGUUUCUGGCUUGCCUUGGAGGCUCUGAGACGUGGUGGCGGUGACCAGAGAAGAAGAGGACGGCGCCGACAAGAUACAGUUCUAGAGGUCGACUAGCUAGGGCGCUAAAGAUUGAGGUCGGGCGGCAGAGAAGCGACGGCGCAAGGUAGGGUGAUGCCGGGGAGGUUGGCGGGGGAGAGAAGUGAGGCGCUGGAUAGGGCGGGGCGGCACAGGGAGGUCGGCGGGGGAGAGAGGCGAGGCGCUGGAUAGGGCGGCGCAGGGAGGAUGGCGAGGACUGAUGGAGUUACCCUAGGGAACCAAGAAGAAAACUAAUGUUUAAUUCAUAUAGUUUUUUCUAAUUUGUUUUGUAUUUUCAUGUUUAAUUUUUUUUUAAUUAUAAUAUAAAACCGGUUUUUAACCGAUGUG
rnacentral:lncRNA from 1 species